UAAAAAGAUAAGCUAAAUUUAA
rnacentral:tRNA from 1 species